rnacentral:rRNA from 1 species
GAUGAACGCUAGCGGCAGGCCUAACACAUGCAAGUCGAGGGGUAACAGGGUAGCAAUAUCGCUGACGACCGGCGCACGGGUGAGUAACGCGUAUGCAACCUUCCUUUAACUGGGGAAUAGCCCGGAGAAAUUCGGAUUAAUACCCCAUAAUAUCAUUGAGAGGCAUCUUUUGAUGAUUAAAGCUCUGGCGGUUAAAGAUGGGCAUGCGUGCCAUUAGCUAGUUGGUGAGGUAACGGCUCACCAAGGCUACGAUGGCUAGGGGGUCUGAGAGGAUGAUCCCCCACACUGGUACUGAGACACGGACCAGACUCCUACGGGUGGCUG